CAGGGCCAACCCAAGGCAGCUCAGGUGCAAGCAAUGUACCUGAGAGAUUGGAGAGGUGGAGCUGGGAUCCACCCCUUCCCAGACCUCAUUUAAGGGUUGGCAGCGGAGGUGAGAGUAUCUUGCUAGAGAUCCCUGCAUACUUGAGGCCCUUCUAAGGUAAGCAGCUUUUUUUCCUUUGUUUUUGUGACUAUGGCUGCUAUGUUUGGGCUUGUCCUCAUUUGUUGCAGGCAAAGGCUUUGCCACGCUGCCUUUAUUGCUGUACUUUCCAUUACAUUACAGCGCUACAAUGUGAUGCUUUGGAAAGGGUAUUAAUUUGUUGAGGUGACAGUGUUUUCUAUACCUUACUGAAGCUUCUUUCAGGUUUUUUUUUUUUCCCUCUUUCUUGGCCUACAGAAUGGUAGGACUUCACAAACUUCUUAAAUCCUUGGUUUUCCAGCCUUUGAAUGCAGAUUUCAUAAUUCGGAUGUAAAAAAUCUUGUCUUUGGCAGAUACUGUUCUUAAGCUUUGAUGGUUCUGUCCUGUCCAGAUGGACAAGAGUCAAAGGUGCUCAUCCCAUCUCAAUGGAUGUUUUUCCAAGGCUGUUUUGUGUUUCAACCAACUGGCAUAUCUGCUGGAAGGUAAUAUGGUUACACAAUGCAAGGUACACACCUCGAGGUAAGCUAUCUGAUCUGGCUCUGUGCAACCUGCUCUGCUCUUUACUAAAGCAAUGUUUUCAGGUAUGUAAUGCAGCCAGGCACGAAGAGAAUGACCCUGGCUACAAGUUUUUUCUAUGGGAAAAUGAAAAUAAAAAUUAUCUGACCUGGGCACCUAAUUAGCAUUUAUACAAUUGCACAUAAAUACUGUAUAUCAUACUGUUCCCUUGGGGUCAAUAGAGAACCUGCUCCCUUUAUUUCAGGAAAAGCAAAGAUUUGUUCAAUUUUGACCUACAGUCAAGUCAGCCAUAAGAUAAGCCCUAAGGUAGCAUAUCAUAUACAGAUGGACAAAUAGGGAGAGUUGUGCAGAGUUGUGUUUUAUGCAAUCUUACAUAGAAAGUUGGCAUGAGAAAUACUAUUCUGCAGCUUUGAGUCUGUUAUUACUAAAUUAUUAUUGCUACAUAUGCAAUAAUUUCUUUUCUUUAUUUUAAUCAAAUAAUAAAGAAUUGCAAUGCAAAAAGCUCUCA
rnacentral:lncRNA from 1 species